rnacentral:rRNA from 1 species
GUGCCAGCAGCCGCGGUAAGACGAACCGUCCAAACGUUAUUCGGAAUCACUGGGCUUACAGAGUUCGUAGGCGGUCCCAAAAGUUAGGUGUGAAAUCCCUCGGCUCAACCGAGGAACUGCGCUUAAAACUGUGGGACUCGAGGGAGAUAGAGGAAAGCGGAACUGAUGGUGGAGCGGUGAAAUGCGUUGAUAUCAUCAGGAACACCGGUGGCGAAGGCGGCUUUCUGGGUCUUACCUGACGCUGAGGAACGAAAGCUAGGGGAGCGAACGGGAUUAGAUACCCUCGUAGUCC